rnacentral:rRNA from 1 species
GACGAACGCUGGCGGCGUGCUUAACACAUGCAAGUCGAACGGAAAGGCCCUGCUUUUGUGGGGUGCUCGAGUGGCGAACGGGUGAGUAACACGUGAGUAACCUGCCCUUGACUUUGGGAUAACUUCAGGAAACUGGGGCUAAUACCGGAUAGGAGCUCCUGCUGCAUGGUGGGGGUUGGAAAGUUUCGGCGGUUGGGGAUGGACUCGCGGCUUAUCAGCUUGUUGGUGGGGUAGUGGCUUACCAAGGCUUUGACGGGUAGCCGGCCUGAGAGGGUGACCGGCCACAUGGGGACUGAGAUACGGCCCAGACUCCUACGGGAGGCAGCAGUGGGGAAUAUUGCACAAUGGGCGGAAGCCUGAUGCAGCAACGCCGCGUGCGGGAUGACGGCCUUCGGGUUGUAAACCGCUUUCGCCUGUGACGAAGCGUGAGCGACGGUAAUGGGUAAAGAAACACCGGCGAACUACGU